rnacentral:rRNA from 1 species
AGCAGCCGCGGUAAUUCCAGCUCCAAUAGCGUAUAUUAAAGUUGUUGCAGUUAAAAAGCUCGUAGUUGAAUUUCGGGAUUGACCCAUCGGUCGUGCCUUAAGAGGUAUGAACUGGUGUAGUCAAUUUCUCACCUUCUGGAGAACCGUGAUGUCCUUAAUUGGGUGCCACGAGGAACCAGGACCUUUACUUUGAAAAAAUUAGAGUGUUUAAAGCAGGCAUUUAUGCUUGAAUACAUUAGCAUGGAAUAAUAAAAUAGGACGGCAUGAUUCUAUUUUGUUGGUUUCUAGGAUCACCGUAAUGAUUAAUAGGGAUAGUUGGGGGCAUUAGUAUUCAAUUGUCAGAGGUGAAAUUCUUGGAUUUAUUGAAGACUAACUACUGCGAAAGCAUUUGCCAAGGAUGUUUUCAUUAAUCAAGAACGAAAGUUAGGGGAUCGAAGACGAUCAGAUACCGUCGUAGUCUUAACCAUAAACUAUGCCGACUAGGAAUCAGACGAUGUUAAUUUUUAAUGACUCGUUUGGG